GACGAACGCUGGCGGCGUGCUUAACACAUGCAAGUCGAACGGAAAGGCCCUGCUUUUGUGGGGUGCUCGAGUGGCGAACGGGUGAGUAACACGUGAGUAACCUGCCCUUGACUUUGGGAUAACAUCAGGAAACUGGGGCUAAUACCGGAUAGGAGCUCCUGCUGCAUGGUGGGGGUUGGAAAGUUUCGGCGGUUGGGGAUGGACUCGCGGCUUAUCAGCUUGUUGGUGGGGUAGUGGCUUACCAAGGCUUGGAUGGGUAGCCGGCCUGAGAGGGUGACAGGCUACAGUGGGCUACGGGAAGGAGCAGUACGCAAUCGGGGGCAAUGGGGGGGAGAUUGACCCAGCGGGCGGGAGCCGGAUGCAGCAACGUCGCGUGCGGGAUGACGGCCUUCGGGGUGUGAACCGCUUUCGCCUGUGACGAAGCGUGAGUGACGGUAAUGGGUAAAGAAGCACCGGCUAACUACGUG
rnacentral:rRNA from 1 species